rnacentral:rRNA from 1 species
CAAGGGCAACCGGCGAACGGGUGCGUAACACGUGAGCAAUCUGCCGUUCUUGUGGGGGAUAGCCGGCCCAACGGCCGGGUAAUACCGCAUACGCUCUGCUAGAGACAUCUCUUACAGAGGAAACCCUUCGGGGGCAAGACGAGGAGCUCGCGGCCUAUCAGCUAGUUGGUGGGGUCAAGGCCCACCAAGGCGACGACGGGUAGCUGGUCUGAGAGGAUGGCCAGCCACAUUGGGACUGAGAGACGGCCCAGACUCCUACGGGAGGCAGCAGUGGGGAAUCUUGCGCAAUGGCCUAACGGCUGACGCAGCGACGCCGCGUGUGGGAUGACGCCCUUCGGGGUGUAAACCACUGUUGCCCGGGACGAAGAGCGGACUUUAGUCCGCCUGACGGGUACCGGGUGAGGAAGCACCGGCUAACUCCGUGCCAGCAGCCGCGGUAAUACGGAGGGUGCGAGCGUUGUCCGGAAUCACUGGGCGUAAAGGGCGCGUAGGCGGUUUGCUAAGCGUGCGGUGAAAGCUCGGGGCUCAACCCCGCGUCGGCCGUGCGAACUGGUGGACUGGAGCAUGUCAGAGGCAGGCGGAAUUCCGGGUGUAGCGGUGGAAUGCGUAGAGAUCCGGAAGAACACCGGUGGCGAAGGCGGCCUGCUGGGACAUUGCUGACACUGAGGCGCGACAGCGUGGGGAGCAAACAGGAUUAGAUACCCUGGUAGUCCACGCCGUAAACGAUGGGCACUAGGUGCUUGGGGGAGCGACCCCCCGGGUGCCGGCGCUAACGCAUUAAGUGCCCCGCCUGGGGAGUACGGCCGCAAGGCUGAACUCAAAGGAAUUGACGG